ensembl:lncRNA
GUAAAGAGGCGGUUAAGUCAUAUAUGUAGGGGGCUGGUUGUGAAUUCCUCAGCUGGAGUCCACCUGUGUCUUGCCUCAGGAAAUGCAAAGAGGAGGCUGAUGGAUUGUAAAAGUCCAACCUGGAGCCCAGUCUAUCUCCUACCUCAGAAGGACUCUGCAGGGCCCUCCUGGAAACUAAGAUACCGCCCACCAGCCUGACGGAGGACGGUGACUGCAUGCUGACCACAAGCAUGCAGACCCCAGACUGGUUGGAGCCAGAAGGCCCUAAAACACUUCCCUGUUACCUCACUACCAAUCAAUCAGAAGAAAGUCCACCAGCUGACCACACACCCUGCAACCUUCACUCCUAAUACUGUCUUUAAAAACCCUCAUCUGAAAGCUGUUGAGGAGCUUUGGCCUUUGAGCACAAACCGCCCAUUCUCUUCUCUUGAUGUCUUGCAAUAAACGUUGCACUUUCCUUCACCACAGCCUGGUGUGGCUUUGCUGUGCUGUGGACCCGAGUUCCGUUCUAUAACAGAGCUCAGUUAACAACAGACUCCUGAGAGAUAAUAAUGGUAGUGGCUAUUUUUAAACUACUUAGUUUUAGGGUGGUUAGUUAUGCAGCAAUAGAUAAAUUUACUUCAUAGAGUUUUCAAACACUUAGAACAUGGGAUCAGCAAACUUUUCCUGUGAAGGGCCAGGUAA